rnacentral:rRNA from 1 species
GAUGAACGCUAGCGACAGGCUUAACACAUGCAAGUCGAGGGGCAACGGGACGUAGCAAUACGUUGCCGGCGACCGGCGGAUGGGUGAGUAACGCGUAUGCAACCUACCCACGACAGGGGGAUAGCCCGUUGAAAGACGGAUUAAUACCCCAUAAAACAGGGGUUCCGCAUGGGACUAUUUGUUAAAGGGUUCUCCGCGAGGGGGACAUCGGUUGUGGAUGGGCAUGCGUUCCAUUAGGCAGUUGGUGAGGUAACGGCUCACCAAACCGACGAUGGAUAGGGGAACCGAGAGGUUGGUCCCCCACACUGGUACUGAGAUACGGACCAGACUCCUACGGGAGGCAGCAGUGAGGAAUUUUUGGUCAAUGGACGGAAGUCUGAACCAGCCAAGUCGCGUGAAGGAAGGCGGCCCUAAGGGUUGUAAACUUCUUUUGUAAGGGAAUAAAGUGCGUUACGUGUAGUGCAUUGCAAGUACCUUACGAAUAAGGAUCGGCUAACUCCGUG